rnacentral:pre_miRNA from 1 species
AGCAAAGUCAGGAUGCAUUUUUGCAUAGAAAAACAGAAAAAUACAUCCUGACUUUUCCGA